AAACUUUCAACAACGGAUCUCUUGGCUCUGGCAUCGAUGAAGAACGCAGCGAAAUGCGAUAAGUAAUGUGAAUUGCAGAACCCAGUGAAUCAUCGAAUCUUUGAACGCACAUUGCGCCCGCCAGCAUUCUGGCGGGCAUGCCUGUUCGAGCGUCAUUUC
rnacentral:rRNA from 1 species